GAUGAACGCUGGCGGCGUGCCUAAUACAUGCAAGUCGAGCGAACGGACGAGAAGCUUGCUCCUCUGAUGUUAGCGGCGGACGGGUGAGUAACACGUGGAUAACCUACCUAUAAGACUGGGAUAACUUCGGGAAACCGGAGCUAAUACCGGAUAAUAUGUUGAACCGCAUGGUUCAAUAGUGAAAGACGGUUUUGCUGUCACUUAUAGAUGGAUCCGCGCUGCAUUAGCUAGUUGGUAAGGUAACGGCCUACCAAGGCAACGAUGCGUAGCCGAUCUGAGAGGGUGAUCGGCCACACUGGAACUGAGACACGGUCCAGACUCCUACGGGAGGCAGCAGUAGGGAAUCUUCCGCAAUGGGCGAAAGCCUGACGGAGCAACGCCGCGUGAGUGAUGAAGGUCUUCGGAUCGUAAAACUCUGUUAUUAGGGAAGAACAUAUGUGUAAGUAACUCUGCACGUCUUGACGGUACCUAAUCAGAAAGCCACGGCUAACUACGUG
rnacentral:rRNA from 1 species